CCCUUAGAUGUCCUGGGCCGCACGCGCGUUACACCGAUGCAUUCAACGAGCUUAUAACCUUGGCCGAGAGGCCUGGGCAAUCUUGUUAACGUGCAUCGUGAUAGGGAUAGAUUAUUGAAAUUAUUAAUCUUGAACGAGGAAUUCCUAGUAAACGCAGAUCAUCAAUCUGCAUUGAUUACGUCCCUGCCCUUUGUACACACCGCCCGUCGCACCUACCGAUUGGAUGGUCCGGUGAAGCCUCGGGAUUGUGGUUCUUGCCGCUUUAUUGUGGCGUGACCGCGAGAACUUGUCUAAACCUUAUCAUCUAGAGGAAGGUGAAGUCGUAACA
rnacentral:rRNA from 1 species